rnacentral:rRNA from 1 species
UUGACCUCGAAUCAGGUAGGAAUACCCGCUGAACUUAAGCAUAUCAAUAAGCGGAGGAAAAGAAACCAACCGGGAUUACCUCAGUAACGGCGAGUGAAGCGGUAACAGCUCAAAUUUGAAAUCUGGCUCCUCUGGAGUCCGAGUUGUAAUUUGUAGAAGAUGCUUUGGGUUGUGGGUUCGGCCUAAGUUCCUUGGAACAGGACGUCAUAGAGGGUGAGAAUCCCGUAUGUGGCCGAGGCCCGCGCCUAUGUAAAGCUCUUUCAACGAGUCGAGUUGUUUGGGAAUGCAGCUCAAAAUGGGUGGUAAAUUUCAUCUAAAGCUAAAUAUGGGCCAGAGACCGAUAGCGCACAAGUAGAGUGAUCGAAAGAUGAAAAGCACUUUGGAAAGAGAGUUAAACAGUACGUGAAAUUGUUGAAAGGGAAGCGCUUGCACCCAGACUUGGGCGCUGCUGAUCACCUUGCGGUCUCCGCGAGUGCACUCGACAGCGCACAGGCCAGCAUCGGUUCGGGUGGCUGGAUAAAGGCCGUAGGAAUGUAGCUCCCUUCGGGGAGUGUUAUAGCCUACGGUGCCAUGCAGCCCAGCCGGACCGAGGACCGCGCCUUCGGGCUAGGAUGCUGGCGUAAUGGGUGUAAGCGACCCGUCUUGAAACACGGACCAAGGAGUCUAACAUCUAUGCGAGUGUUUGGGUGGUAAACCCAUACGCGGAAUGAAAGUGAACGUAGGUGAGAACCCCUUUGGGGCGCAUCAUCGACCGAUCCUGAUGUCUUCGGA